UACGUAGGGUGCGAGCGUUAAUCGGAAUUACUGGGCGUAAAGCGUGCGUAGGCGGUUUUGUAAGCCAGAUGUGAAAUCCCCGGGCUUAACCUGGGAAUGGCAUUUGGGACUGCAAGGCUGGAGUUUGGCAGAGGAAGGUGGAAUUCCAGGUGUAGCGGUGAAAUGCGUAGAGAUCUGGAGGAACACCGAUGGCGAAGGCAGCCUUCUGGGCCAACACUGACGCUCAUGCACGAAAGCGUGGGGAGCAAACAGG
rnacentral:rRNA from 1 species